ACGGUACAGUGACUUCGGUCGCUGACGAGUGGCGCACGGGUGAGUAACGCGUGGGUUACCUGCCCAUAAGUGGGGAACAACUUGGAGAAAUCCAAGCUAAUACCGCAUAAUACCUUCGGGUUAAAGAGGGGGAUCUUCGGACCUCUCGCUUAUGGAUGGUCCCCGCGUCUGAUUAGCUAGUUGGUAGGGUAAUGGCCCUACCAAGGGCAAUGAUCAGUAAGCUGGGUCUGAGAGGAUGGAUCAGUCACACUGGGAACUGAGACACGGUCCAGACUCCCUACGGGAGGCAGCAGUGGGGAAUUUUGCACAAUGGGCGAAAGCCUGAUGCAGCGACGCCGCGUGCGGGAAGAAGGUCUUCGGGUUGUAAACCGCUUUCAACAGGGAAGAAGGAAUGAGAGCUAAUACCUCUCUGCCUUGACGGUACCUGUAGAAGAAGCACCGGCUAAUUUCGUGCCAGCAGCCGCGGUAAUACGAAAGGUGCAAGCGUUGUUCGGAUUUACUGGGCGUAAAGAGAUCGUAGGUGGCUUGUUAAGUCGGAUGUGAAAUCCCGGGGCUCAACCCCGGAACUGCAUCCGAUACUGGCAGGCUUGAGUUUGGGAGGGGUAAGCGGAAUUCCGUGUGUAGCAGUGAAAUGCGUAGAUAUACGGAGGAACACCUGAGGCGAACGCGGCUUACUGGACCAAUACUGACACUGAGGAUCGAAAGCGUGGGUAGCAAACAGGAUUAGAUACCCUGGUAGUCCACGCCCUAAACGAUGUCAACUAGCCGUUGCGGGUAUCGACCCCUGCAGUGCGCAGCUAACGCGAUAAGUUGACGCUGGGGAGUACG
rnacentral:rRNA from 1 species